rnacentral:lncRNA from 1 species
CCUUUUUUUACAUCCCUAGUCAUGAACCACAACCCAUAUACCAUAUGCUAAGUGAGAGGCUCCGAGGAGAAUUAGGCUCUGGCCCUGAUUUAGGGAAAUAACCGCUAGGACCAUCUUCAGGACCCUCCCGAUUGGAAGGUACAGCUUUGCCUUCUUCCAUUUCAGAGGAAGAAUCUUCCAAGGUGCCCUGGUCUCUCCAGGCUCACAGCAGACAAUAGAAUAAGGCAAGGGCCCUUUAACACUGGCCAGUUCCUCUUAGGGGGCAUGGCUUCCUGAACUACAGCCCAUACAUAAGCUUUCAUACAAGCUUUGUUGUUGUUGUUUAGUCAUUUAGUCGUGUCCGACUCUUCGUGACCCCAUGGACCAGAGCACGCCAGGCACUCCUGUCUUCCACUGCCUCCCGCAGUUUGGUCAAACUCACGCUGGUAGCUUCGAGAACACUGUCCAACCAUCUCGUCCUCCGUCGUCCCCUUCUCCUUGUGCCCUCCAUCUUUCCCAACAUCAGGGUCUUUUCCAGGGAGUCUUCUCUUCUCAUGAGGUGGCCAAAAUAUUGGAGCCUCAGCUUCAGGAUCUGUCCAUCCAGUGAGCACUCAGGGCUGAUUUCCUUCAGAAUGGAUAGGUUUGAUCUUCUUGCAGUCCAUGGGACUCUCAAGAGUCUCCUCCAGCACCAGAAUUCAAAAGCAUCAAUUCUUUGGUGAUCAGUCUUAUUUAUGGUCCAGCUCUCACUUCCAUACAUCACUACUUAGAACCUUUUAAAAACCGCACAGUUCCUAGGAUUGUUUGGAGGGAGGCUGCCUAAAGUGGUGUGAUGGUGCUUUAAAUGGGGCCUAAAAUUCAGCACCCCAGUCUCAUGGCUGGGCCAAUAUUACUUUGAAGGAUCCCUAUUUCACCAAGGUCCAGAAGGACCAACGUACGUGUGUGUGUGUGUGUGUGUGUGUGUGUGUGUGUGUGUGUGAAACCUUGCAAUCAUAAAACAGAAAGGAAAGCUGGACACCGGGAUCUCUCUGCCAGAUGAGCCUCAUGAAACAAAUGCCUGGAAAUACCUGGGACGACAAGGGCUCACGGCAAAGUGAUCCCUCUUAAUGAGAAGCAGAGCUUGCCAUGUGCUAAUCAGAAGUUGCUGCCGAUCUAACCCAUCCUGUCACUUUUAUAAAGGGAGCGCCCCGAAGGGCAACUGGAAAGGGAAAAGGAAGGAGGCUAACGAUCGCAUAUGAAAGCAGCUCGUUCCUUGCUGGGUCUCCGACUUCAAACAAUGCAGCGCUUUUAUGACUUAAAAAAAAAAAAAAUUGGGAGUGUGACUUGAGCUUGGAUCCUUUUCAUCUGGCAAGUGGUGUGUGUGUGUGUGUAAUUUAUUAUCAUUCUGCUUCUUAUUAGAAUGGCAGGAGAGAUUCAGUUCCAAGGAAGAAACAGAAAUACAACAUGUAAGUGUAUUGUUUGAGACACUAUUGUUCCUUUUCUUUUUUUUAAAAAAACCAGUGUUUUGGGAUGUUUUUACCUGUGUUCUCUCACUUUAAAGAAAUAAAGAAAUCCAACCUGUCGUGCUCAUGUUGAACCAUUCUGGAGAAAGAUACUCAAAACAAAAGAAGUUGCCUUGCGCUGAGACAGACUGUUCAUCCAUCUACCACGGUAUUUUCCACAUGGAGUGACAGGCACUCCCCUGGGUUUCAGAUUUUCCCAGCCUUACCUUGAGAUGUCAGAAUCUGG